UCCAUUCACUUGUCGAUGGGCAUCUAGGCUGGUUCUGAAUCUUGGCUACUGUGACUAGUUACGCAAUAAACAUAGAUGUGUGAGUAUCCAUGCUGUGCUUAGAU
rnacentral:miRNA from 1 species